CUUGCCUCUGCCUCAGUUUCCCAGCCUGCAGUGAGGCAUGCAGACUCGGGGCUGAGUCCCAGCUGUGCCCUGAUGAACUGUUCGCUUACCCAUCCCUGAGUCUUGGAUCACCCAGUCCUGUUAGCUCUGUUCUGGACAUCCCCCCAAAGGUGUCCGUGUCCUAAUCCCUGGGACCUAUGAAUACACUGCCUUACCUCGCAACGGAGAAUUAAAGAUGCUGAAGGAGUUACAGUUGCUAAUGAGCCAACCUUGAGACAGGAGCAUGUCCUGGAUUGACCAGGUGGACCUAACGUCAUCACAAGGGUCCUCGUACAUGGAAGACGGAGGCGGAAUAGGGAGUACCAGAGAGAGGCAGCACAAGAAAGAUUUGGCCCAAUGUGGAUAGAAGAAGGGGCCAUGAAUCAGGGAACUUGGGCCCGUCUAGAAGCUGGAAAGGAAAACAAUUUCUCCCUUUCCCCUGGAGCCUCCAGAAGGAACUAGCCCUGCUGACACCUUGAUUUUAACCCAGUGAGAUCCAUUUUGGAUUUCUGACUUCCACAACUGUAAGAUAACAAACUUAUCUUGUCAUGAGCCACUAAGUUUAUGGUAAUUUGUUACAGCAGUGAUAGGAAAUGAAUGCAGAUUUUGGUCGCAGGAGUAGGGUGCUACUGUAACAAAUACCUAAAAAUGUAGAAGUGGCUUUGGGAAUAGGCAAUGCAGAGGCUGGAGGAAUUUUGAAGGGCAUGAUAGAAAAAGCCUAGAUUUCCUUAAACAUGUUGUUGGUAGAAGUAUGGAUGUUAACAACUCUGCUACUGAAGACUCAGAAAUAAAUGAGGGGCACAGCAAAGGAAACCUAAUUCACCACUAAGAAUACCAAAAAUCAUCCUGAACAGCCUGUUAGUAGAAAUAUGAAUGUUAAAGGCAUUGUUGGUGAGGCCUGAGGGAGAUGAAGACUGUGCCACUGGAAAUUGGAGGAAAGGAGGUCCUUGUUAUAUGGUGAUACAUAGCAGAAAGACUAGCUGAAUUCUGUCCUCCUACAGUUAAUGGAAAGCAGGACUUGUAAAUAAUCA
rnacentral:lncRNA from 1 species